GGCGGUACUGCUGCCAGUCCCGGGUGCUGCGCUUGCUCAGUGGGGUUUGGCCUCUGUGCUCUGGACGUGCGGCAGAUGGACUCUUGGAUCUUCCCGACAUCGCGUCACCUUUGUCGAGUGCCGAGGGCUCUGGGUGGAGGAGUGGCAGGGCCCUCAGGAGAGUGAGUGGCCACAGCCAGGCCUCACCCUUCUCUUUCUUUUUAUUCUCACACAGCUGGGAUUUGUUCAGUCAGCCAGGUGGAGUGAAGCUGUGGGACAGAACCGGGUAGGAGGACAGGCCUGAGCCCUGUGCCUGCUGCGGCAGAGCUGUUGCUGGACAUUCACCAGAAAAACAAAGGACAUUUACCAACACCCGGUCUGUGUGACCAUGAAGCCCAUGUUCCUCCACUCUGCUGUGUCUCCUCCUGUGGUUCACCGCUGGUCCCGUGAGAGCUGGGUGUCUACAGGGCAUGGCCGGGUCGCAUGUAUGCGGGUGUGUUCCAGUCUCGUCAGAGAGGAAAGCAUGUGAACGCCAUGUGGAGAGGACCAGGCCUGGGAUACAGCGUCAGCUUCCCCCCCCACCCCGCACCGCGUUGCUGUUGAGUUACAUCGUGCGCUGGUGGAGCCAGACUCUUGCUCUGUGUGCCUGGAAGCAGUGGUGCCGCAUCGAGGUGGACCCUUCAGAGUGGAUGGAGGCACCUGAAAGCGGCUUUUGCUCUGGACGCCAAGCCAUGCAGAGCAACUUCCUCUCUGUUGGUUUCGGCGUGGAAAUGUGCAUCUGCUUAUAAUUUAAUAAAAAUGCCCUUGAGGACAAAUGAUGCACCACUGAUUUUUCAGCCUCUUGGAAGAAGUCCCCAGUGUUGAGGGACAUUGAAAUCAGACAGAGAAGCUUACAUAAUGACUGAUUUGGUUGCAAGAUUACUCCUGAGAAGCAGGCUGUGGCUUGCUCUGGCCCCUGGCAGAUGGAGAUUCAUCUGGAUUAUCACUGGGCACAGUAGAUAGGGAGAUGCGGCUGACCUUUCAGAGAGGCCCUGGGCUCCCUGAAAAUGACGAUGUUACUCCAAGACUGCAUGGAAAGUAAGAGCCCCGAGUCUGAUCAGAACUCUGCAACUCAUACUGUGAAUC